AUAUUACUGUGCAAGGCUCUUUCGUUAGUAAAAGGCCCCACCAAACCGCAGAAGAUUACGCCCUAAGCCCUAGGAAUUGGGUGCGGGUGGCCCUGAGCCUUAGGGACUGGGAACGGGUUGGGGAUGCCACCAGAUUACGCCUUGAGCCCACAGAAGGGAUCCAGGGAGGUGCCAUGGAGCGUGCAGGUAACACGAGCAAAGGGGCCUGUGUCAAGGAAUGCUGGAGUCUGCUACAAGGAAGGAGGAAACGAGAUACAAGCCAGAGGGACAAAGGCCGGGCCUCUGAAAACCCGCCCACUCCGGUGGGGAAGUGAAAGUCAGCGACAGAAAAAACAAACGUUAAACUGGGACCGCACAUGAAGAAAGGAGAAGUUGCUAGCGACAGUCGCACAGCUGAGGCGUGGGAAACGAGAGGUGAUGAGCUCCUCGCAGGUGACGGUAACGACACUCCUCCCACUGCGGUAGCAGCUUAGGAAGAUGUUAAAUAGCAGCCGCGUUUUUCAGUCCGCAGGCCUGAGAGUUUGGAACGAGCUGGCUCAGGACAUCUCUGGCUCUCAUCUGGAUUGUCUCCAAGGGUAUCUACACCCGUCUUGAGUAGUGGACCUCAGAACUGGACCCAGGAUCUAGCAGCACCAAACACAGAGAUCUGCUCCUGACCCCAGAUGUGGCCUCUCUGGGAAUCAUGAGCCAGGAAGAACGGUGGACCCAUCCUGGCACAGGAUGUGCAACAAGGACUUUUAA